GGUUAAGCGACUAAGCGUACACGGUGGAUGCCCUGGCAGUCAGAGGCGAUGAAGGACGUGCUAAUCUGCGAUAAGCGUCGGUAAGGUGAUAUGAACCGUUAUAACCGGCGAUUUCCGAAUGGGGAAACCCAGUGUGUUUCGACACACUAUCAUUAACUGAAUCCAUAGGUUAAUGAGGCGAACCGGGGGAACUGAAACAUCUAAGUACCCCGAGGAAAAGAAAUCAACCGAGAUUCCCCCAGUAGCGGCGAGCGAACGGGGAGCAGCCCAGAGCCUGAAUCAGUGUGUGUGUUAGUGGAAGCGUCUGGAAAGGCGCGCGAUACAGGGUGACAGCCCCGUACACAAAAAUGCACAUGCUGUGAGCUCGAUGAGUAGGGCGGGACACGUGGUAUCCUGUCUGAAUAUGGGGGGACCAUCCUCCAAGGCUAAAUACUCCUGACUGACCGAUAGUGAACCAGUACCGUGAGGGAAAGGCGAAAAGAACCCCGGCGAGGGGAGUGAAAAAGAACCUGAAACCGUGUACGUACAAGCAGUGGGAGCCUCUUUUAUGGGGUGACUGCGUACCUUUUGUAUAAUGGGUCAGCGACUUAUAUUCUGUAGCAAGGUUAACCGAAUAGGGGAGCCGAAGGGAAACCGAGUCUUAACUGGGCGUUAAGUUGCAGGGUAUAGACCCGAAACCCGGUGAUCUAGCCAUGGGCAGGUUGAAGGUUGGGUAACACUAACUGGAGGACCGAACCGACUAAUGUUGAAAAAUUAGCGGAUGACUUGUGGCUGGGGGUGAAAGGCCAAUCAAACCGGGAGAUAGCUGGUUCUCCCCGAAAGCUAUUUAGGUAGCGCCUCGUGAACUCAUCUCCGGGGGUAGAGCACUGUUUCGGCAAGGGGGUCAUCCCGACUUACCAACCCGAUGCAAACUGCGAAUACCGGAGAAUGUUAUCACGGGAGACACACGGCGGGUGCUAACGUCCGUCGUGAAGAGGGAAACAACCCAGACCGCCAGCUAAGGUCCCAAAGUCAUGGUUAAGUGGGAAACGAUGUGGGAAGGCCCAGACAGCCAGGAUGUUGGCUUAGAAGCAGCCAUCAUUUAAAGAAAGCGUAAUAGCUCACUGGUCGAGUCGGCCUGCGCGGAAGAUGUAACGGGGCUAAACCAUGCACCGAAGCUGCGGCAGCGAC
rnacentral:rRNA from 1 species